CUCUGCCCUGGAGGCCAGCCUUUCCCUCACCGCAGCUUCUCUGAAGAAGUCUCUGUUCUUGAUGGGCAUUUUUCUCAGCUGGGCUUGAACAGCGUAGCCUACUUGAUGGGCAAUGAUGAUGAGACUAAGAAAUGGCACGUCUAUGCUGCCUCCGCCCAGGACUCUAGCAACUGCAACAACAAUGUCUUCACGCUUGAGAUGUGCAUGACGGGUCUAGACAGAGAGAAAGCUUCUGUCUUCUACAAGGAUGAGACUGACAAGACCGGAUCUAUGACCGACAACUCCGGAAUAAGGAAGAUCCUUCCCAAGUCCCAGAUCUGCGACUUUGAAUUCGAGCCAUGUGGCUAC
rnacentral:lncRNA from 1 species